rnacentral:rRNA from 1 species
AGUCGAGCGGAUGAAGAGAGCUUGCUCUCUGAUUCAGCGGCGGACGGGUGAGUAAUGCCUAGGAAUCUGCCUGGUAGUGGGGGACAACGUCUCGAAAGGGACGCUAAUACCGCAUACGUCCUACGGGAGAAAGCAGGGGACCUUCGGGCCUUGCGCUAUCAGAUGAGCCUAGGUCGGAUUAGCUAGUUGGUGAGGUAAUGGCUCACCAAGGCGACGAUCCGUAACUGGUCUGAGAGGAUGAUCAGUCACACUGGAACUGAGACACGGUCCAGACUCCUACGGGAGGCAGCAGUGGGGAAUAUUGGACAAUGGGCGAAAGCCUGAUCCAGCCAUGCCGCGUGUGUGAAGAAGGUCUUCGGAUUGUAAAGCACUUUAAGUUGGGAGGAAGGGCAGUAAGCGAAUACCUUGCUGUUUUGACGUUACCGACAGAAUAAGCACCGGCUAACUCUGUGCCAGCAGCCGCGGUAAUACAGAGGGUGCAAGCGUUAAUCGGAAUUACUGGGCGUAAAGCGCGCGUAGGUGGUUUGUUAAGUUGAAUGUGAAAUCCCCGGGCUCAACCCUGGGAACUGCAUCCAAAACUGGCAAGCUAGAGUAGGGCAGAGGGUGGUGGAAUUUCCUGUGUAGCGGUGAAAUGCGUAGAUAUAGGAAGGAACACCAGUGGCGAAGGCGACCACCUGGGCUCAUACUGACACUGAGGUGCGAAGCGUGGGGAGCAACAGGAUUAGAUACCUGGUAGUCACGCCGUAAACGAUGUCAACUAGCCGUUGGAAGCCUUGAGCUUUUAGUGGCGCAGCUAACGCAUUAAGUUGACCGCCUGGGGAGUACGGCCGCAAGGUUAAAACUCAAAUGAAUUGACGGGGGCCCGCACAAGCGGUGGAGCAUGUGGUUUAAUUCGAAAGCAACGCGAAGAACCUUACCAGGCCUUGACAUCCAAUGAACUUUCCAGAGAUGGAUUGGUGCCUUSGGGAACAUUGAGACAGGUGCUGCAUGGCUGUCGUCAGCUCGUGUCGUGAGAUGUUGGGUUAAGUCCCGUAACGAGCGCAACCCUUGUCCUUAGUUACCAGCACAUUAUGGUGGGCACUCUAAGGAGACUGCCGGUGACAAACCGGAGGAAGGUGGGGAUGACGUCAAGUCAUCAUGGCCCUUACGGCCUGGGCUACACACGUGCUACAAUGGUCGGUACAGAGGGUUGCCAAGCCGCGAGGUGGAGCUAAUCCCAGAAAACCGAUCGUAGUCCGGAUCGCAGUCUGCAACUCGACUGCGUGAAGUCGGAAUCGCUAGUAAUCGCGAAUCAGAAUGUCGCGGUGAAUACGUUCCCGGGCCUUGUACACACCGCCCGUCACACCAUGGGAGUGGGUUGCACCAGAAGUAGCUAGUCUAACCUUCGGGAGGACGGUUACCACGGUGUGAUUCAUGACUGGGKGAAGUCGAACAAGG